GAGAGGCAAGGUUCCUCGUCUCAUUGAAGAACGAGUAGCGAAAUGUGAACGUAUCGUCUAAAAAUAUUGUCGGGGAGGUCCGAGGUGCGCCUAGCAACAGAGAUUGCAUAGAAGCAUGUAACUAUAGUGAACCCCUAAGUUCGAGUAUGAAAAACGAGCGUCUUCUUUUCAACGAGACAAGCCGGAUACGCUAAUUACAAGAUGAUAUGAGAACGAUCGAUAAUGAUAUCUUACUGAAAUCGGUGAAGAAUUUUCUGUAAUAAGGAAAGACGACGGAGGAAUGAGAAACCGUGCAGAAUGUAAAAGGAAGGUAAUGCGUGUAAAAAGUUCAGUAACCAAAAAAAAAAAAAAAAAUGCAAAAUAAAUGGAACGAAAAAUUGGACGACGAAACAAAAAGAAAAAUAAAAGGAAAUAAAUUCAUAAGAAUAUAUCAUAUUGGAUUAACCUGAGAGAAAAACAAGGAUCUAACUGUUUCUUCUUUUUCCGUGGAACUUCAUCGAUCUCAGCAACGAUUUACUUCCAACGAGUUUCCUUCU